UACGGGGGGGGCAAGCGUUGUUCGGAAUUACUGGGCGUAAAGGGCUCGUAGGUGGCCAACUAAGUCAGACGUGAAAUCCCUCGGCUUAACCGGGGAACUGCGUCUGAUACUGGAUGGCUUGAGUUCGGGAGAGGGAUGCGGAAUUCCAGGUGUAGCGGUGAAAUGCGUAGAUGUCUGGAGGAACACCGGUGGCGAAGGCGGCAUCCUGGACCGACACUGACACUGAGGAGCGAAAGCCAGGGGAGCAAACGGG
rnacentral:rRNA from 1 species